rnacentral:rRNA from 1 species
CGGGAUAACAGGCCGAAAGGCUGCUAAUACCGGAUGAGUUCAUGCUUAUGCAUAUAGGCAUGAAGAAAGGGCUAGCCCGCUAUGAGAUGAGCCCGCGUCCCCAUUAGCUUGUUGGUGGGGUAAUGGCCUACCAAGGCAACGAUGGGUAGCCGGCUGAGAGGGCGUACGGCCACACUGGGACUGAGACACGGCCCAGACUCCUACGGGAGGCAGCAGUAGGGAAUAUUGCGCAAUGGACGGAAGUCUGACGCAGCGACGCCGCGUGAGCGAUGAAGGUCUUCGGAUCGUAAAGCUCUGUCCUUGGGGAAGAAGGCGAAAGCUUGACGGUACCCAAGAAGAAAGCCCCGGCUAACUACGUGCCAGCAGCCGCGGUAAUACGUAGGGGGCGAGCGUUGUCCGGAAUUACUGGGCGUAAAGGGUGCGUAGGCGGCCCUUUAAGUCGGAUGUGAAAGCCCGCGGCUUAACCGCGGAAUGGCAUUCGAAACUGGAGGGCUUGAGUGUCGGAGAGGGUAGUGGAAUUCCCAGUGUAGCGGUGAAAUGCGUAGAUAUUGGGAGGAACACCAGUGGCGAAGGCGACUACCUGGACGAUAACUGACGCUGAGGCACGAAAGCUAGGGGAGCAAACAGGAUUAGAUACCCUGGUAGUCCUAGCCGUAAACGAUGGGUACUAGGUGUGGGUGGUUUCGAUACCAUCCGUGCCGUAGUUAACGCAUUAAGUACCCCGCCUGGGGAGUACGUGCGCAAGCAUGAAACUCAAAUGAAUUGACGG